UACGAAGGGGGGCUAGCGUUGCUCGGAAUCACUGGGCGUAAAGGGUGCGUAGGCGGGUUUUUAAGUCAGGGGUGAAAUCCUGGAGCUCAACUCCAGAACUGCCUUUGAUACUGAAGAUCUUGAGUCCGGGAGAGGUGAGUGGAACUGCGAGUGUAGAGGUGAAAUUCGUAGAUAUUCGCAAGAACACCAGUGGCGAAGGCGGCUCACUGGCCCGGUACUGACGCUGAGGCACGAAAGCGUGGGGGAUCAAACAGG
rnacentral:rRNA from 1 species